rnacentral:lncRNA from 10 species
AGCUUAAGCUGAAAUACCAAUCUUCUGUCCUUGGUACUCCUGGAUUUCAGGCAUUCAGGUUUGGAUUGGAAUCUACACUACUGGCUCUCCAGCUUUCAGGCCCUUCAACUACACCACUGGCUUUCCUGGGUCUCCAGCUUACACAAGCAGAUCAGAUGACUUUUCAGCUUAUCUAUCAAUUUUUAUUUUUUCUACAGACAGAGUCUAGCUCUGUUGCCCAGGCUGGAGUGCAGUGGCACAAUCAUAGGUCACUUGCAGCCUCCAACUCCUGGGUUCAAGUAUCCUUCCACCUCAGCCUCCCACAGUGCUGGGAUUACAAUUACAGGCAUAAGCCAUCACCUCUGACCUAUUUUUUUUUUUUUUGAGACAGGGUCUUGCUCUGUUGCCCAGGCUGGAGAGCAGUGGUACAAUCACAGCCCACUGCAGCCUCAACUGCCUGGGCUCAAGUGAUCCUCCCGCCUCAGCCUCCCUAAUAGGUGGGACUACAGGCACACGCCACCAUGCCCGGCCAAUUUUUUUUUCUAUUUUUUGUAAAGAUGGGGUCUUACUAUGUUGCCCAGACUGGUCUCGAACUCCUGGGUUCAAGCAAUCCUCUUGCCUCGGCUUCCCAAAGUGCUGGGAUUACAGGCAUGAGCCACCACACUCGGCCUUUUCAGCUUCUAUAAUUUGGUGAGGCACUAUCUAAUAAUAAAUCUCUCUUCCUAGAUAUAUAUCCUGUUGGGUCUGUUUCUCUGGAGAACCCUAACCUAGGCCCUUAGAGGCUGUGAUGAGAGAACAUGGCUUUAUCGUGAAAAUAGCCCUUUUCUGUGCCUCAUUUUCCAAUCUUCUCCUACUGGGGCUCCUUCCUUCCAUCUGCUCCUGCUUAAGUCUCUCCUUGGCAUAGUUGCCAGAGUGACCUUUCAAAAACCACAAUCUGCUCAUGUCAUUUCCCUGCCUAAAACAUUUCACUGGCUCUGCACCUCCCUCCUUAUGAAGACCCAACUCCUUGCCUUCAUUAAUUGAACCCUAACUUUGCUGAGGUGCCUGACUGCUGCAGGCAGCCAACUGUGGCUGCUGCAGAUGCUGUGGCCAGGAGGGUGGAGAGAGAGAAGGACCCUGGGUCCUCACUGAUGUCACCACACGUGUAAUUAACCAACCCUGCAGCCCACCUUACCAAUGAACUUCCUGCUAAGUACGAUAAUAAAUCUUAUUUAAGAUUUAUUGCUCUCUUGCCUAGGCUGGAGUGCAGUGGUGCAAUCACAGCUCACUGCAGCCUUGACUUCCUGGGCUCAAGUGAUCCUCCUGCCUCAGCCUCCCUAGUAGGUGGGACUAUAGGCACAUGCCACCAUGCCCAGCUAAUUUUUUUC